rnacentral:misc_RNA from 1 species
GAUGAAGAACGUAGCGAAAUGCGAUAAGUAAUGUGAAUUGCAGAAUUCCGUGAAUCAUCGAAUCUUUGAACGCACAUUGCGCCCCCUGGCAUUCCGGGGGGCAUGCCUGUCCGAGCGUCAUUUCUGCCCUCAAGCCCGGCUUGUGUGUUGGGCGUGGUCCCCCCGGUUUAGGGGGGACCUGCCCGAAAGGCAGCGGCGACGUUCCGCCUUGGUCCUCGAGCGUAUGGGGCUUUGUCACCCGCUCGGGAGGGGCCUACGGGCGUUGGCCAUCCACCAUUUAUUUUUUUUACGGUUGACCUCGGAUCAGGUAGGAGUUACCCGCUGAACUUAAGCAUAUCAAUAAGCGGAGGA